UACGUAGGGGGCAAGCGUUGUCCGGAAUCAUUGGGCGUAAAGCGCGUGUAGGCGGCCCGGUAAGUCCGCUGUGAAAGUCGGGGGCUCAACCCUCGAAUGCCGGUGGAUACUGUCGGGCUAGAGUGCGGAAGAGGCGAGUGGAAUUCCUGGUGUAGCGGUGAAAUGCGCAGAUAUCAGGAGGAACACCGGUGGCGAAGGCGGGUCUCUGGGCCGUAACUGACGCUGGAGGAGCGAAAGCGUGGGGAGCGAACAGG
rnacentral:rRNA from 1 species